GUGCCUAACUCUUUGAUACGAUCAUUGAUGUUGAAUCUCCUUCUCCUUUCAACUAUUGAACAGACAAAAGACAAAGAAAAAAGAUUGGAUUUUUUGUUGGCAGGACAGGAGUUGCUGGUCAUAGCAAUGGCUGGACACUUCAUCCCCGGACCUGUAUACACAUCCAGGCCAGUGGUGUUUAUUCUUCUCUCAGGCACCAGCAUGCACAGCUGUCUCUGGCACUGGCACCCCUGUCUUGGGAGACUGACCUCGGCAACACCGAUCCUGUCAUUCUUCUACCUCCGCUCCCCUCCAAACAAAAGUGAACUUUCCUCUAACUGGACUUUCAGCCUGUUUUCCCCUUGCACAAAUUGCCCACAUCCCCUUUUCCCUCCUCCUUUCUUUUCCUCCCGCUCUACUUCUCCUUACCUCCCUAUCUUCCUCCAAACAUCUUGUAAACAAGUUGAACUCUAACUGCUAGCAGUUUAAUUGUUAAUUUUCUGAGUUUCUGUCCUCAGACAAAGCACUGUACAGUCCUUGUCUGAAAUGUCUUCCCUACAGUUUUUAACUACUUGCAUCGUGGAUUAAGGAUGGAAUGUUUAGUGCUUAAGUCAAUUAUGCACAUUUUCAUGUGUGGAUGUGAGUUUGAGUAUAUGGGUGCAUUAGGACAUAUGGGGAGAACAAGGAAAGCCGGUUUAAAGCUACAUUUCAAUGGCUGCCUUGCAAUAUUAAGCAAUUACAAUGCUCAUUGUGUUCUACCAGGAAUAACAACUGCAACAACACCAUCACUAUCCCCGAUAAGAGCAACACAAACUAAAAGCAUUAACCGUAAUUGAAAGGGGAGACCGUAUUAGACAAAACAGGAUCCAAAACAGUUAUUACAGAAACUACUGAAAACCCAAGUUUUGAGAAUUGAUGAAUUGACAAGUCCAACCCUAUGACUAAAUUAGGGGAAACGUGGACCAAAAUAUAACCUAAAGUGGACGAGGGUUUCAGAGGACCACAUAAUAUGUGAAUACUUUACAACUUUAUAGAAUUCUAGAGGUAGUGCAUUCAAGGUACAUCCAUAUAUUGUGAGGUAAUCCUUUGCAAUAAUUCAAUAAUUAUCUGAAAUAAGGUGAUAUCACUGAAAAGCUGAAUUAUACAAAAAUAAUUCGACAAAACUUUAAUUAUUUUACCUCACUGAAAAGCUGAAUUAUACAAAAAUAAUUCGAAAAAACUUUAAUUAUUUUACCUCACUAAUUUGAAUUUCUUAUAAUAAAAUUGCAUGUUGCUUUUGUUCUAAGGAAAAGAUAAAUUGGCAAAAAGUAUCCAUGUCAAGUUGUGCCCAAAUUUACAAAUAUGUUUUAAAUGGUUUUACAAUAUGUGCACGAUAUCACAUCUUGUAGUGUUAGACUUCCAAUGAAAUAUGCCCCCCCCCCUGAAUUAUGUCGGAAAUAUUUGGUGAUAAUCUAAAAUAUGGAACUGAAAAAGGAGUCCAAAGUACAUUUGAUGUUUAGAAGUCGCUAAAAAUAAGAGAGUCCUGAGAUCACACUUUGUUGGUGGGUUGGUUC